UCCAAGCCAAGCAGGGCAAAGCCAGAGCCCAGUUUCCUGUCCAACCAGCCAGGGAUGUUUAAUUCCUCAGGACAGCUGCUGGGAUAUCUCCUCCAUGCUGUAACAGUCAGCAUGACACAGGUGUCUCAGGCUCAGCAGUGAGGUGGUCCCGGUUUUAGCAGGGAAUGUGCUGUGGCAUUUAACAGCUUCAUGGGUGCCCCUUGCCUCAGGUCCUGCUGCAGUAUCACCACGAUCCAAGUCUUGUCAUUCCAGAUUACAAGAAGCACCAGGUUCUCAUGCCCUUCUCUGUGGCUGUGCCUUUCCACUGUGUCUUCUGCCGCCCUCACCAGCCCAGUUUUUCAUCUCUG